UGAGGAAUAUUGCACAAUGGGGGAAACCCUGAUGCAGCAACGCCGCGUGGAGGAUGACGCAUUUCGGUGUGUAAACUCCUUUUAUCAAGGAAGAAAAUGACGGUACUUGAUGAAUAAGCACCGGCUAACUCCCGUGCCAGCAGCCGCGGUAAUACGGAGGGUGCAAGCGUUACUCGGAAUCACUGGGCGUAAAGGACGCGUAGGCUGGCUAUUAAGUCAGGUGUGAAAUCCAAUGGCUCAACCAUUGAACUGCACUUGAAACUGGUAGCCUAGAGUAUGGAAGGGGCAGAUGGAAUUAGUGGUGUAGGGGUAAAAUCCGUAGAUAUCACUAGGAAUACCGAAAGCGAAAGCGAUCUGCUGGGACAUUACUGACGCUGAGGCGUGAAAGCGUGGGGAGCAAACG
rnacentral:rRNA from 1 species